rnacentral:rRNA from 1 species
GACCUGCGGAAGGAUCAUUACUGGGUCACUGGGUGCUUCGGCGCCCAAAACCAACCCUGAGCUUCCCGCCCCUCCUUUGGCGCGAAAGGGGCCCCUCGCGACGCGAGUGCGGCCCCUGCCAAAAGCAACGCUGAACAACCUUGCAGCCUGAAGUAAAAAGCAAAUAGUUAAAACUUUCAACAACGGAUCUCUUGGUUCUGGCAACGAUGAAGAACGCAGCGAAAUGCGAUAAGUAAUGUGAAUUGCAGAAUUCAGUGAAUCAUCGAAUCUUUGAACGCACAUUGCGCCCCCUGGUAUUCCGGGGGGCACACCUGUUCGAGCGCCAUUUCACCUCUCAAACCUCGCUUGGUGAUGGGCCCUGCCCGCGGGCGGGCCUGAAACUCGUGGGCGUCGUCGACCGGCUCCGAGCGUAGCAACACCCUCGCUCGGGACCCCGGCCGGAGGCGGCCCAAGACCUCACAAUCUUAACAACACAAGGUUGGCCUCGGAUCANGUGGGGAUACCCGCUGAACUUAAGCAUAUCAAUAAGCGGAGAAAAGAAACCAACAGGAUUGCCUCAGUACGGCGAGUGAAGCGCCACAGCUCAAUUUGAAAUCUGGCUCUUUGGCGCCCGAGUUGUAAUUUGCAGAGGGCGCUUCGAGUGAAGCCCCGCCCAAGUCCCUGGAACNGACGUCAGAGAGGUGAGAACCCCUGUUCGGCCGCCGCGCUCCUCGUGUGAAGCCCUUCAACAAGUCCAGUGUUGGGAUGCAGCUCUAAUGGGUGGUAAUUCCAUCUAAGCUAAAUACCG